rnacentral:rRNA from 1 species
UACAGGGGGUGCAAACGUUGCUCGGAAUCAUUGGGCGUAAAGCGCGCGUAGGCGGUUGCUUAUGUCGGAUGUGAAAGCCCUUGGCUUAACUGAGGAAGUGCAUCCGAAACUGGCAGGCUAGAGUACUAAAGAGGGUCGCGGAAUUCCCGGUGUAGAGGUGAAAUUCGUAGAUAUCGGGAGGAACACCGGUGGCGAAGGCGGCGACCUGGGUAGAUACUGACGCUGAGGUGCGAAAGCGGUGGGGAGCAAACAGG